UUCCAAAGGUGGAUUUUCCUUCUAUGUUUACAGGGUUUAUGGUUAAGCAUAGAGGAAAAUCCACAUGUUCAG
rfam:Pteropus alecto contig163915, whole genome shotgun sequence.